UACGUAGGGUGCGAGCGUUAAUCGGAAUUACUGGGCGUAAAGCGUGCGUAGGCGGUUCGUUAAGUCAGCUGUGAAAGCCCCGGGCUCAACCUGGGAACUGCGGUUGAAACUGGCGAACUAGAAUCUGGCAGAGGGGGGUGGAAUUCCACGUGUAGCGGUGAAAUGCGUAGAGAUGUGGAGGAACACCGAUGGCGAAGGCAGCCUCCUGGGCCAAUACUGACGCUCAUGCACGAAAGCGUGGGGAGCAAACAGG
rnacentral:rRNA from 1 species